GUUUUUUUUUAAGUGUUAUUAUCAAGUGAUGUCUAACCUAGCUGAGUUGAUGUAUCAGAUUUUAUACUUAUAUGAGAUGUGAGGUUGGGAGUACGACUCCCGUAAAGUACUUCUUGUGGUACCAUACGUAGGAAAUUUUUCUUUGGAAAUUCCUAUAGAGACUGAGUUUUGCCCUGUAAAGGAGCUCGAACUGGAGAUGUUCGUUGAAAUAUUACGAGUGAAUUUCCAUUUAAUUUGUUUGCCGUUUUAAAAAAAAAGUGUGAAUACCAAAUAUGGAUAUAAAGUUGAGAACAUGUUUAUUGCAAAAAAACAUGUUUGUUGUCUUACACAUCGUUGAUGAGAAACUUAUUUGGAAUUUUAUUCUUCAUUUAUAAUGAUCAUGGCCAACAUAGAUUAUUACAAUACACAACCAAUAGGAAUCUUGACCAAAGAAUAUUGCCUUCUUUUAAUCUCCCAUUGUCUUUUAACCCCUUCUUGUUCAAAACAGCCAUGACACUAUGGUCUCAACCUCAACCUCAACCUCAACCUCAACCUCAAUCUCAACCACAACCUGGGAACCUCUUUAACAAGCUCACAAGUCUGCUAUUGCUUGGUUUGUUUCUUCUGGUAGUUUCCUCGGAGGUUAUUGAGUCCAAGUUCCUAAUUAAAACAUUGCCAGGUUUAUCCGGUGAACUUAAUGUGUCACUUGAAACAGGUUACAUUGGCGUUGGAGAGUCCGAUGAUGUGCAGUUAUUUUAUUACUUCGUCGAGUCUGAAGGGAGCCCGGAUAACGACCCUAUCAUGUUUAUGCUAUCAGGUGGGCCUGGCUGUUCCGGUCUUACCAAGAUUGUGUCUAAUACAGGCCCGUUCAAUUUCAACUAUGCAAAUUCCACUCCAGAGAACCCUGUGCUCGAGAUAAAUUCUUAUAGUUGGACAAAGGUUGCAAACAUAAUUUCAAUUGAUCAACCUGCUGGGACUGGAUUCUCAUAUGCAAAAUAUCCAAAAGCUUACAUAACAAAUGAUACAUUAUCAUCAAUGUUAUGUUACCAAUUUUUAAGGAAGUGGCUUGAUGAUCACCCUAGAUUUAUCAAGAAUCCGUUAUAUGUUGGUGCUGAUUCCUAUGGUGGCCUAUUUGUUCCAUUGAUUGUUCAGCAAAUAUAUAAAGGUAAUGAAGUUGGAGAAGAACCACAUAUCAACAUCAAAGGGUAUGUUAUUGGUAACCCUGUUACAGACACAAGUGCAGAAUAUAAUUUUAGAAUUCCAUCUGCUCAUCAUCUAGCACUCUUAUCAGAUGCCGUCUAUAAGUCAGCAAAAAGAAAUUGUCGAGGAGAGUACUUGAAUGUGGAUUCCAACAAUAUUCUAUGCAUACAUGAUCUUAAUGUGGUAGAAAAGUGCCUCAAAAGAAUUCAAAUGGAAUACAUUUUAGAUCCAUAUUGUGGCCCUUCAAAUACCUUCAAACCUUCUCUUUUCAAGAGGGACUUAAGAUCUAUUGAGAAGACCUCCAAGGAUAUCUGGUCAUUACAUCAAGUUCAAAUGGAAGGGUGUAAUGAUGACAUACAUAUGUACCCAUAUGUCUGGGCUAAUAGAAGAGACGUGCGAGAGGCACUUCACAUCCGUGAGGUAUUCAAUGAAACUGAGUGGGUGCUAUGCAAUGGAAGCCUGCAAUUUUUUUAUAACCAAGAACCAAUAUCAUACACACACAAUAUAUGGAGUACUGUUGCCUAUCAUCGACACCUUGCUAAUAAAAACUGUCGAGCUCUUGUAUAUAGUGGAGAUCAAGAUAUGAUUGUUUCCUAUUUGAGUACAUUAAACUGGAUUAAAUCACUAAAUUUGUUACUCAAGAAUGAUUGGGGACCCUGGUUUGUUGACGAACAAGUAGCCGGCUACACUAUGAAAUAUUCACAUAAUGACUACAACUUAACAUUUGCUACAGUAAAGGUGUGAAAUCUUCCUUCCAUUAUAAAUUAUCCACCACAUUUUGCUAUUGUCUCGUGAAAAAGAUGACAUACUCAUAAACAUUACGAAAACAAAUGAACGUCUGCUAUUUUUAAGAGACAAAAGAACCAUUUUAUUUUAUGAUCAUGAUGAUGGUGUAUAAAUUUCUAUUGUUAAAGGGAGGAGGUCACACAGCUACAGAUUAUAAACCAAAAGAAUGUUUAAAGAUGCUUAUGAAGUGGUUUUCCAAUGACGCUUUGUAACCCACAUUUGAAGACUAUCAUGUUUGCUUCUUGUGUUGUAUUUCUAUUGUUAAAGGGAGGACGUCACACAGCUACAUAUUAUAAACCAAAAUAAUGUUUAAAGAUGAUUAUGAUGUGGUUUUCCAAUGAUGCUUUGUAACUCACAUUUGAAGAGUAUCAUGUUUGCUUCUUGUGUUGUACGGAUUCUUUUAGAUUGCUUACCUUCAAUGACUUUGUUUAAAUAAAUAUUGUAAUUUGUGUAUUUAAAAAUUUUAAGA